UCCGAGUUGUAAUUUGUAGAGGAUGUUUUGGGUACCGCCCCGGUUUAAAUUUCUUGGAACAGAAUGUCAGAGAGGGUGAGAAUCCCGUCUUGGACCGGCGGUAGGGCCUGUGUAAAACUCCUUCGACGAGUCGAGUUGUUUGGGAAUGCAGCUCAAAAUGGGUGGUAAAUUUCAUCUAAAGCUAAAUAUUGGCCAGAGACCGAUAGCGCACAAGUAGAGUGAUCGAAAGAUGAAAAGAACUUUGAAAAGAGAGUUAAACAGUAUGUGAAAUUGUUGAAAGGGAAGCGCUUGCAACCAGACUUGAGCGCGACGGUUCCCCUAGCCUUUUGGCUAGGUUACUCCGUCGUGUCCAGGCCAACAUCGGUUCUGAGGGUCGGUCAAAGGCUCUGGGAAUGUAUCUACCCACGGGUAGACUUAUAGACCAGGGUGUCAUGCGACCUCUCGGGACCGAGGAACGCGCUUCGGCUCGGAUGUUGGCGUAAUGGUUGUCAGCGACCCGUCUUGAAACACGGACCAAGGAGUCUAACAUCUAUGCGAGUGUUUGGGUGUCAAACCCGGAACGCGAAAUGAAAGUGAACGGAGGUAGGAAGCUUCGGCUGCACUAUCGACCGAUCCUGAAGUUUACGGAUGGAUUUGAGUAAGAGCAUAGCUGUUGGGACCCGAAAGAUGGUGAACUAUGCCUGAAUAGGGUGAAGCCAGAGGAAACUCUGGUGGAGGCUCGCAGCGGUUCUGACGUGCAAAUCGAUCGUCAAAUUUGGGUAUAGGG
rnacentral:rRNA from 1 species